AGUCGCACGAGAAGGGUAGCAAUACCUGAGUACAGUGGCGCACGGGUGAGUAACACGUGAAUCAUCUACCUUCGAGUGGGGAAUAACUGGGAGAAAUCUCAGCUAAUACCGCAUAAUACCCACGGGUCAAAGCAGCAAUGCGCUUGAAGAGGAGUUCGCGGCAGAUUAGUUAGUUGGCGGGGUAAUGGCCCACCAAGACGAUGAUCUGUAUCCGGCCUGAGAGGGCGCACGGACACACUGGAACUGAAACACGGUCCAGACUCCUACGGGAGGCAGCAGUGGGGAAUUUUGCGCAAUGGGGGAAACCCUGACGCAGCAACGCCGCGUGGAGGAUGAAAUCCCUUGGGAUGUAAACUCCUUUCGAUCGGGACGAUUAUGACGGUACCGGAAGAAGAAGCCCCGGCUAACUUCGUGCCAGCAGCCGCGGUAAUACGAGGGGGGCAAGCGUUGUUCGGAAUUAUUGGGCGUAAAGGGCGCGUAGGCGGUUUGACAAGUCUGAUGUGAAAUCUAUGGGCUCAACCCAUAGCCUGCAUUAGAAACUGUCGGGCUUGAGUAUGGGAGAGGUGAGUAGAAUUUCCGGUGUAGCGGUGAAAUGCGUAGAUAUCGGAAGGAACACCUGUGGCGAAAGCGGCUCACUGGACCAUAACUGACGCUGAGGCGCGAAAGCUAGGGGAGCAAACAGGAUUAGAUACCCUGGUAGUCCUAGCCCUAAACAAUGAUUGCUUGGUGUGACAGG
rnacentral:rRNA from 1 species